AACUAUACUUGAGUAGGAUGAAGCCAGGGGAAACUCUGGUGGAAGUCCGCAGCGAUGCUGACGUGCAAAUCGCUCGUCGAACUUGAGUAUAGGGGCGAAAGACUAAUCGAACCAUCUAGUAGCUGGUUUCCUCCGAAGUUUCUCUCAGGAUAGCAGGCCGAAAUUUGUAAGGUGUUAUGUGCGGUAAAGCGAAUGAUUAGCGUAUGUGGGGCCAUUUUGGCUUCUGACGAUUCUCAAACUUUAAAUGCGCAUGGGUAUCGCUGCUUAAUUGAGUGGUAUCUGAAAAACCUUCGGCUUUGUGGACCAAUUUUGGUAAGCAGAACUGGUGAUACGGGAUGAACCGUAAGUGUGGUUAAGGCGCCAAAUUAUCCGCUUAGAGAUUCCAAAAAAGGUGUUGAUUCAUCGAGACAGCAGGACGGUGGCCAUGGAAGUCGGAAUCCGCUAAGGAGUGUGUAACAACUCACCUGCCGAAUGAAUUAGCCCUGAAAAUGGAUGGCGCUCAAGCGGGUAGCCGACACCACACCGUCUAAAUGAGAUCCUGAUUUAGAUGAGUAGGAGGAACGUGGCGGUUGUUUGGAAGCGUUAGGUGCAAACCUGCGUGGAACGGCCGCUAGUGCAGAUCUUGGUGUUAGUAGCAAAUAUUCAAAUGAAAACCUUGAAGGGCGACGCGAGGAAGGGUUCCACGCCAACAUUGAUUGAGCGUGGGUUAGUCGUUCCUAAGCCGUUUGGUAAUUCCUAUCUUUACCGGCGAAAGGGAAGCAAGUUGAUAUUCUUGCACAUGUACAUGAAUGCGGCGACGCGCAUCUGGCGCCCCUAAAUGGGCCGUGGCUCUGGGCAGAGAUCUCUUUUCUGUUUGACUUUGGUUCGAUAUGCUGUGUGCCGAGUUUCCCUCAGGAUAGCCACAGAUGCCAACAAGGCCUCUCGAUCACGCCAAAGGCGCAUUGAACGCAUGUGCUGAUCACUUGAGCUUCCUUGAAAAGACCCGGGGAACCGACGGAUGGUUUU
rnacentral:rRNA from 1 species